UACACGUGUUUCGCUCUAGUUAGAGCAUCAUCAGGCCUUUAGAAGCCAUCCACACACUUAUGCUGUAACUGAUGAUGCUCUAACUAGAGCGAAACACGUGUAGCCCGUUUAAUUACAUGUUGUGAGACCGUGACUUUGUGUUUUUCUUUGUUUUUCGUCAAUCUAUAGUAAAUACAGAGAGAAAAGGAAAGGUCUUAUUAUAUAUUAUAAUCAGAAAUAAAUUUCAUUGAAAUAUUACUUACUUAUUUCUGGGUAUCAUGCUUCAGAGAACCAUGAUGUGUUACAAUACGCUCCGCUCUUUAAUUUUAGUUUAGUAGAAAAUAUUCUCAAAACCUGCAUAUAUCAAAAUUAUGUCAAGGUUCUAAAAUGAAUCGGUAAUAAAAUCGUAAACCAGAUCAACAUUGGAAAUAAUUUAAAAAAUUUGCUUUGGUCCGAUUGAAAAAAGUACUAUACUAGCAAAUAGUUACAUCUAUUCUGUAGCAAUAAAAGUUAUAAAAUUCUGUCUAUUAUUAAUUUUAAUCUUAUAAAGUGUAUCGUUUAACUCUUAGCCAUUAUUUACAAUUUAAUUGUUAAUUAUGCCUAAAAAAACGAAUUAACAACUUUGGUAUUGUUUGGAAGGUAAACAGCUUAAUUCCUUUAUGUAAAGCCACCUUAACAUGUUUUUGCAUAAUUCUGACUCACGUUGGUUGCUAUCGGGCUUAAGCCAUAAAAAUCGAAGAAAAAAAGAAGAAGACGAAGAGACUUUCACUUGUCAUUUCAAUGUCACUUUCCGGCCCACAAGCAUAAACGCCACCGGCAACGGAAGUUCCCAAAAUCCAAACAAAUGUUGGAAGAUAUUUUUAAGUCUCCACAUCUUUCUUACUUUCCUAUAUGAAAAUAAAAUGUAAGUAUCACAAUUACACACAUACAAGUUUUUUUUUUUAAUUCAGUUUCAUAAUUACCAAUUUUUAGUGAAUAAUCCUGAAAUUUAUGAAAAUACAUACAUUUUAAGGUUAUGUCAUAAUGUUUUGAUUGUUAUAUUUGAUUUUGUUUUUGUUAUUUUAGUGGACUACACCAACAAAGGUUAUGUGUUUUGCACCAGAUUGAAAGCAUCAUAGCGAAAAACGGACCUGUCAUAUCUUUAAAUUUUCAAAAGAGCCCCUGGAAAAAGAAAAAUGAAUAUCUUUGCCAAGGAAUACUAAGGCAAAUGGAUAAAAAACCUUCAGUCCAUGCAUUGGUAUGUAAUUGUUGACAAAAAUACAAUGAAUGGCCUCACUACUUUUCCACAUGCAAAGAGGUUAACCAAGGAGAAAUUAAAGAAAUUGUCAAAAACCUAGGUAAAUACAGAAUUGCUUAGUACAAACAUAUCUAUACCGAUUUCAAGUUCGUCCACUUCUUUGGAGCAUGGUACUUCAAACAGAGACACUGUCAACAAUUUUGUAGAAGGUGAGCCGGUGUCAAAUUCCAGUAAGGGACAUGAUUUCAAUUUUGCACCAACAGCAGAGCUAAAAUUCAUUUUGCCGCAAAAAACUGGAGGAUGUGAAAGAAAAAAGUGCAGAAGUUAAAAUUAAGUUUUUCAUAUGAGCACAUAAAAAAUAAUCAUGACAAAGUUCAGUUGUAUACAGGUUUGACAUGUAAUAAAUAUUUUUGUAAUCUUA
rnacentral:lncRNA from 1 species